rnacentral:rRNA from 1 species
GUUAAAAAGCUCGUAGUCGGAUCUCGGGAUCGUGUUGGCGGCUUUGUCGCUUCUUCUGCGCUUCGGCGUUGGGAGUUGUGGCAGGUCGUCGGCCCUGUCGGCGAGGUCCCCACCCUUGGUGGGGUUCCACCUCGCUCGUGCAGCCCGCCGUCGCGUUUGGGCGGGUGUCCUUAAUUGGAUGCCCGCUCUCGAACGUGGCCAUUUUACCUUGAACAAAUCGGAGUGCUCAAAGCAGGCUCUUCAUCGCUCGAACGGUAGCGCAUGGAAUAAUGGAAGAGGACCGGCUUCCGCUUCUGUUGGUCUCACGGAGGCAGGUAAUGAUCAAGAGGGACGGAUGGGGACAGAGGAAUGGCUUGGCGAGAGGUGAAAUUCUUGGACCCUAGCCAGACCCUCGAGAGCGAAAGCAUCUGUCAAAGAUGUUUCCAUUGAUCAAGAACGAAAGUCGCGGGAUCGAACGGGAUUAGAUACCCCGGUAGUCGCGACCGUAAACGAUGCCAACCGGGAAUUCGGCGGCGUUACUUCCAUGACCCGUCGAGCGCCCGACCCGGGAACCGAGAGUCUUUGGGUCCCGGGGGGAGUAUGGUUGCAAAGCUGAA